CUAAGCCUCGGUUUUCUCUUUUGUAUAAAUCAUGCCUUUCAUGGAAUGGUUGCGAUGACUGUGAGAGGGCAUGUAAAAAGCUUAGUCUUUAGCCAUUUCCCUUCCCUUCUCUGUGUCUGCUAUCACUAGUUCAUAUUAGCCAAAUAGGACUAAUUUACCAAAUACCACUAUUGCUUUCCUUGAUCCUGUGAAGAAAAGUGAAGGACUUGAGUAAAGGAAAAAUCAUGAAAAAUGCAAAAGAUUGACAGUCAUUGUGAGCCUCACAUAGGUGCUCAUGCCAGCAUUUUCACCUCACUUGGUGCCUGGCUCCUAGUAAGUACUUGAUAAGUACUUAAUUAGAUGAAUGAGGACAGAUCUAGGGGAAGGAAUUGAUACAAAGAGGGGGGGCGUGAUUUAGAUUGACUAAAUUUAGCUAGCUGACAAAACAAGCUACCUGUCAGAAAGGUACUGUACAAAAAUAAAGGAGAGAGGGAGGAAAGAAAAGUGUGGUACCUCUGCACAUUUCAAAAGAUGCUGCAUACUGGAAAUGGGAGCUCUCAGAAUAAAUAUCAGACACCUAAGCUGAAGAAGUUUAUAGUAUAUUUGAAGACCAAAUGUGAUAGCAUAAUCUAAUAUAGUAGACUGUGAUGUCAAAUAGAAUGAUGAAAUCCUGAGAAGAGAGACCUGAUUAGAAUAAUCUACCAGUAUUUAGAUUGAGUAGGGAGCAACAAGACAAAUCCUUUGUUUUAAGAGUACUGAGGAAAUGUAACAGUGAUUAUGGGGUAGGGAGAGGAACAUUCUAGAGGACAAUAAAAGGCAGACAGGAUGACUAGUGGUGGAAAGAAGGGAAAAAAAUCUAAAUGUCUUAUCAAUAGAGGAAUAAUUACAUAUGCUAUAUCCUAUUAUGGAGUACUAUUCAGCUGUUAAAAUGAUAAAUUAUCAAUGGAAAAAAGCAGUGUCUGAACAAUAUGUUCUGUUUUUCUUAAUAGAAAACUAUGUUAGUGUAUAAUUACGUGUAAAGGAAGAGGAGGCACUCCAGACUUAACAGUGAUUACUUCAUGUUAAGAAUUGUGAAGAUUUUACAUAUUUGCAAGCUAACAAUUUAACUUGCCAGCUUCAUGGAUCUUGGCAGAAAGCACUAGGCUUCUGUGCCAGAGACAAAGGACUUUUGUUAACACGCAAGCAAAAUGAGCUUCAUGCUCCCCUUGUUCUCAAAGCCCAGAGAAGUAAUGUGGAGAGUGGGUGGCUGCUGCUCACACAGUGGGUUUGCAUCCUAGCAGAGGAACCCCAAGCUUAGGAAAACCAAGUCUUUGCCCAGCCUUGCCCCAGAGUGAGGCAAUAUCUUUAUUAUCCUGGUCAGGAAUCAAAUCUGCUCCAAAAGGAGGUACAAACAUCUUUGAAAAGAUAAUCUGAAAGAAAAUCUGUCAGGAGCCUUGGGAAAAUUUGAGAGAUCCUUGGAGAAUUGUCUCCCAACCCUAUGGGUAAUAGUAUCUGGGAGUAGAGGAGAAGCCAGCUUUAUUUUUUUUUAACUUUAUAUACAUCAAGAUUCUAGGAGUGAGUUCCCAUUGUGGCUCAGUGGUAACGAACCCAACUAGUAUCCAUGAGGAUGUGGGUUUAAUCCCUGGUCCCACUCAGUAGAUUAAGGAUCCAGUAUUGCUGUGAGUGGAGGUAUAGGUCACAGACGCGAUUCAGAUCUGGCACUGCUGUGGCUGUGGCAUAGGCCUGCAACUGCAGCUCCAAUUCAUCCCCUAGCCUGGGCACUUCCAUAUGCCGCAAGUGUAGCCCUAAAAAGAAAAAAAGAAAAAAAAAAGAUUCUAAGGGUUUUAAAAAUCUUUUUAUUAAAGUAUAGUUGAUUUUCAGAGUUCCCAUUGUGGCUCAGUGGUUAACGAAUCCGACUAGGAACCAUGAGGUUGUGGGUUCGAUCUCUGGCCUUGCUCAGUGGGUUAAGGAUCCAGCGUUGCCGUGAGCUGUGGUGUAGGUUGCAGACGCGGCUCAGAUCCCGUGUUGCUGUGGCUCUGGCCUAGGCCGGCGGCUACAGCUCCAAUUCGACCCCUAGCCUGAGAACCUCCAUAUGCCGCGGGAGCGGCCCUAGAAAAGGCAAAAAGACAAUAAUAAUAUUAUCAUAUUUUGUUAUUUUAACUUUUAAAAAUAUAAUAAGAAAUAAAAGGCAAACAGAGAAGUUUAAAUUUGUUUUAGUAAGGGACAAGGAGCCACUCAGAGUCAGUGACUGGAGGAAUGAUAGUGAUAUUUAAGGAACAUAAAUCAAUUAAUAAUAUCUAGGAUGGACUAGAGUUUAUAAAGUCUAUCUCAAGGCUGCAAUCGUGUAGCUAUAAGAUAAUUAGAACCGGGGCGUUCCCGUCGUGGCGCAGUGGUUAACGAAUCCGACUAGGAACCAUGAGGUUGCAGGUUCGGUCCCUGUCCUUGCUCAGUGGGUUAAUGGUCCGGCGUUGCCAUGAGCUGUGGUGUAGGACAGUAGCUGUAGCUCCCAUUAGACCCCUAGCCUGGGAACCUCCAUAUGCCCCAGGUGUGGCCUUAAAAAGCAAAUAAUAAUAACAAUAAUAAUUUUUUUCAUUCAUUUAAGAGGGUUCUUGGGAGGGAAAGGAAGUAGAUAUAGAUAUCACUCUUUCAACUUGAACUUGAAACAAGCCAUGUUUUCCCAUACCAUCCUCUCAUUUUCUCAUUUUAACACAUCUCAUUUUUGUAUUCAUAGAGAAGGCUUUCUGAUUAAAGUGAAAUUUGAGCCAGAUGUUGAAGAAUGGACAGAAUUUAGGUAAGUGGAGAGUAGUAGGAAGUACACUGUAGCAGAGAGGUCAAUAUGAUCGAAAGUGUGAUGCUGAAUGAAGUAGCAGAUAUGAGAAUCAAGCCACCAUCUAUUAAGCCAGACAUUAGAGUUUGCAAAAAAUGUGAAAUGAUUCCACUCUUUUUAAUAACAUAUUUUGUUUUUGAAAAUAGAGUUAAAUUUCAUAAAAUAAUAAAUUAACAACAUAGUUAACAUGUAAUGGGUAUGUUAUUGUUAUUUUAAAGAAUAAGUAUUUUUCUCAGUUUUAAUUUCGAACAUAGAAAAACAUGAUGGAUAUGCCCCACAUAAACAUAAGCUUUUGGAGUCCUUACUAAUUUAAGAGUAUAAAAAGAGACCAGAAUGUUUGAGAAUUAAUAUGCUAGUCCAUACACUACGUUUAUGUGAAGUGAUCUUCUGAAACUAAAAUGUAGAGCAACUAUGGAAAAUCCAGGGACACCUUUGAGGCUCUGGGUGUGGAAAAUAUUUGGAACCUUAUCAGAAACAUGUUGCCUGCUUACGCAAAUAGGGCAAUUACAAGUAACUGGAGUUUAACUUUUUAACCGGAGUUUAACUUUAGUAGGGCUG
rnacentral:lncRNA from 1 species